UUCCGGUUGAUCCUGCCGGACCCUACUGCCAUCGGGAUGGGACUAAGCCAUGCAAGUCGUGCGUCUCCAAGCUAUGGUGGAGACGCGGCGCACAGCUCAGUAACACGUGGCUAACCUACCCUUGGGACGGGGAUAACCCCGGGAAACUGGGGCUAAUCCCCGAUAGGAGAGAAGACCUGGAAUGGCUUCUCUCCGAAAGGGUGUUAAGGCCAUGCUCCUUAACACCGCCCAAGGAUGGGGCCGCGGCCGAUCAGGUAGUUGGUGAGGUAACGGCUCACCAAGCCUAUAACCGGUACGGGCUGUGAGAGCAGGAGCCCGGAGAUGGGCACUGAGACAAGGGCCCAGGCCCUACGGGGCGCAGCAGGCGCGAAAACUCCGCAAUACGCGAAAGCGUGACGGGGCCAUCCCGAGUGCCAUCCGCUGAGGAUGGCUUUUCUCCGGUGUAAGGAGCCGGAGGAAUAAGGAGAGGGCAAGUCUGGUGUCAGCCGCCGCGGUAAUACCAGCUCUCCGAGUGGUAGGGACGGUUAUUGGGCCUAAAGCGUCCGUAGCCGGCUUGGCAAGUCUCCCGUUAAAUCCAGCGAUCUAAUCGCUGGGCUGCGGGAGAUACUGUCAGGCUAGGGGGCGGGAGAGGCCGACGGUACUCCCGGGGUAGGGGUAAAAUCCUAUAAUCCCGGGAAGACCACCAGUGGCGAAGGCGGUCGGCUAGAACGCGCCCGACGGUGAGGGACGAAAGCUGGGGGAGCGAACCGGAUUAGAUACCCGGGUAGUCCCAGCCGUAAACGAUGCGGGCUAGGUGUUGGAGCGGCUACGAGCCGCUCCAGUGCCGCAGGGAAACCAUUAAGCCCGCCGCCUGGGGAGUACGGCCGCAAGGCUGAAACUUAAAGGAAUUGGCGGGGGAGCACCACAAGGGGUGAAGCUUGCGGUUUAAUUGGAUUCAACGCCGG
rnacentral:rRNA from 1 species